UACGUAGGGGGCUAGCGUUGUCCGGAAUCAUUGGGCGUAAAGAGCGUGUAGGCGGUCCGGUAAGUCCGCUGUGAAAGUCGGGGGCUCAACCCUCGAAUGCCGGUGGAUACUGUCGGGCUAGAGUGCGGAAGAGGCGAGUGGAAUUCCUGGUGUAGCGGUGAAAUGCGCAGAUAUCAGGAGGAACACCGAUGGCGAAGGCAGCCUCCUGGGCCAGCACUGACGCUCAUGCACGAAAGCGUGGGGAGCAAACAGG
rnacentral:rRNA from 1 species